ACAAGAUUGCUCAUGAUAAUCUCAGACUCAAGCAUGCAGGAAGUGCUUCUCCCCAACUUCUCAGAAGGUUUCACUGAAGACAUACUCACCACACCUAGCUGGUGAAUGUGGAGGCAAACCCUAAAAUUUUCUACCUGCAAGAUGAUGGAAUCCCUGUAAUAUGAAGAAUGAAUGAAGAGUAAUUCUUCUUCCAUGUAAAUAAGGGUCUCACAAGUUUGCUCAUUAUUAUCUCAGAAUCAGGAGUGGAGGAAGUGCUUCUCCCUAGCUUCUGAGAGGUUUCACUGAAGACACACUCAUCACACCUAGCUUGUGGUCCUCUUCUGACUUCCUCUCUGCAUCCCAAGAAGUUGACACUGGAGGAGACACCUUCCCUGAGUUUAAGCAUCUGACCGAGCUGUUCAGAAAGGUUCCAGUUCAAGCAGUAAUGCCAUCUUUCCUCUCUACAUUCCAAAACCUGACAAUGGAAGAGAACCCAUCCCUAAGUUUAUGGUACAUAUUGUUUCUACUGUGUGUCAAAUACAUUUGUUUACUCUUCCCUCUCUAGAUACUCCAGUAUUAGAGAUGAAGCAAGGAAUGAGUAUUUAGACUUGUAGUCUUCAUUUCACAUCUAACAUGUAACAAUCAACACCUAUUUUUACCUGUCACUUCAGGGAGGACGGUUUCAUCAGUACUGGAUUUCUUGUGGUUCUAUACAAACUUUAGAAAAACGUUGAACAUUGCAAGAAGAGAAUGGCAUAAAUGGAGGGUCUUACAAGCUUGCUCAUGAUAAUCUCUGACACAGGCAUGCAGGAAGUGCUUCUCCCCAACUUCUGAGAAGGUUCCACUGAAGACUCACUCACCACACCUAGCUGGUAUAAGAUUCCAAUGCAAGCCAUGCUUCCUCUUUGCAUCUCAAGAAGUUGACACUGGAGGAGACCUCUUUUCCUGAGUUUAAG